rnacentral:rRNA from 1 species
UACGUAGGGUGCAAGCGUUAAUCGGAAUUACUGGGCGUAAAGCGUGCGCAGGCGGUUAUGUAAGACAGGUGUGAAAUCCCCGGGCUUAACCUGGGAACUGCAUUUGUGACUGCAUAGCUAGAGUACGGUAGAGGGGGAUGGAAUUCCGCGUGUAGCAGUGAAAUGCGUAGAUAUGCGGAGGAACACCGAUGGCGAAGGCAAUCCCCCUGGACCUGUACUGACGCUCAUGCACGAAAAGCGUGGGGGAGCAAACAGG